CUCACAUUAAAGAAACACUAUAGUCCCCAGAACCACUUCAGCUUAAUGUAGUGGUUCUGGUGUCUAUAGCCUGUCCCUGCAGGCCUUUUAAUGUAAACACGGCGGCACUGCAGCACUGGCGUUAGUUAACAUGGCAAAUCAUAUGGCUGGGGCAUUGUGAUGUCACAUGGGGGGGGGCGGCAAACUUUACUUUUGCCUAGGGCGGCAAAAAUCCUUGCACCGGCCCUGCUGGCGGGUGA